rnacentral:rRNA from 1 species
UACGGAGGGGGCGAGCGUUAUUCGGAAUUAUUGGGCGUAAAGGGCGCGUAGGCGGCUUUCUAAGUCAAAGGUGAAAUCCCUCGGCUCAACUGAGGAACUGCCUUUGAAACUGGACGGCUUGAGGCCGGGAGAGGGUAGCGGAAUUCCCAGUGUAGCGGUGAAAUGCGUAGAUACUGGGAGGAACACCGGUGGCGAAGGCGGCUACCUGGACCGGUUCUGACGCUGAGGCGCGAAAGCGUGGGGAGCAAACAGG